CAGCCGCCACGGUAAAACGAAGGGUGCAAGCGUUACUCGGAAUUACUGGGCGUAAAGCGUGCGUAGGUGGUGGUUUAAGUCCGUUGUGAAAGCCCUGGGCUCAACCUGGGAAUUGCAGUGGAUACUGGGUCACUAGAGUGUGGUAGAGGAUAGUGGAAUUUCCGGUGUAGCAGUGAAAUGCGUAGAGAUCGGAAGGAACAUCUGUGGCGAAGGCGACUAUCUGGGCCAACACUGACACUGAGGCACGAAAGCGUGGGGAGCAAACAGGAUUAGAUACCCGUGUAGUCCCUGUCUCUUAUAC
rnacentral:rRNA from 1 species